UACGGAGGUGGCGAGCGUUGUUUCGGAAUUACUGGGCGAAAGGGCGCGUAGGCGGGGGAGAAGUCGGGUGUGAAAGCCCUCGGCUCAACCGAGGAACGGCGCUCGAGACUCUCUCUCUUAGUCCCGGAGAGGACGAUGGAAUUCCCGGUGUAGCGGUGAAAUGUGUAGAGAUCGGGAGGAACACCGGUGGCGAAAGGCGGUCG
rnacentral:rRNA from 1 species